rnacentral:rRNA from 1 species
UGGCAGCUCAGAGGGUGCGUCGCGAAGCUGCUUGGUGCUUCGCUGACGAGUGGCGGACGGGUGAGUAAUGUCGUGGGAAACUGGCUGAUGGAGUGGGGAUAACUACUGGAAACGGUGAGCUAAUACCGCAUAACGUCGCAAGACCAAAGAGGGGGACCUUAGGGCCUCUUGCCAUCGGAUGUGCCCAGAUGGGAUUAGCUAGUAGGUGGGGUAACGGCUCACCUAGGCGACGAUCCCUAGCUGGUCUGAGAGGAUGACCAGCCACACUGGAACUGAGACACGGUCCAGACUCCUACGGGAGGCAGCAGUGGGGAAUAUUGCACAAUGGGCGCAAGCCUGAUGCAGCCAUGCCGCGUGUAUGAAGAAGGCCUUCGGGUUGUAAAGUACUUUCAGCGGGGAGGAAGGGAGUAAAGUUAAUACCUUUGCUCAUUGACGUUACCCGCAGAAGAAGCACCGGCUAACUCCGUGCCAGCAGCCGCGGUAAUACGGAGGGUGCAAGCGUUAAUCGGAAUUACUGGGCGUAAAGCGCACGCAGGCGGUUUGUUAAGUCAGAUGUGAAAUCCCCGGGCUCAACCUGGGAACUGCAUCUGAUACUGGCAAGCUUGAGUCUCGUAGAGGGGGGUAGAAUUCCAGGUGUAGCGGUGAAAUGCGUAGAGAUCUGGAGGAAUACCGGUGGCGAAGGCGGCCCCCUGGACGAAGACUGACGCUCAGGUGCGAAAGCGUGGGGAGCAAACAGGAUUAGA